UUUGUGCAAUUUUUAUUUUUAGUAUUUUUAAUUUUUAUUUCAUUUUUGUAUUUAUCAUAGUGCUAUUGAGGUAUUUUCUAUUUGGGUAUGCACAGUUCAAGAUCAAUAUUAAUUCCAUUUGAUCGAGAAAUAGAAAGAACCAUACGUGCUCUCAGAAAAGCGGUUAGAGAAGUGACGUGUCGGAAAAAAAUUGAGAUUAAGCUAUUGAUUAACUUAAC
rnacentral:lncRNA from 1 species